GAGACUAGAGAAACUGAAGAGAUGGGAGACAAACCGUAGACUCUCCGGCGUCGAUACAGGGGAUCCGCCGCACAUCGCUCACCGACGUCGACAUGACAGAGGGGAUCCGCCGUGCGUGGCGGCUCUCUGGCGUCCACAACAGAAUGGAAAUGAACAGUUGUGCCUGCUGAAUCACAUGUCUACCACCGUUGUAUAUUCGCCGGUCUUCACCAACAACAGCGACACCAGUUGACAGUUACCGAGUUUUCAGGUAUGGGUUUUCUGGUGACGGGGAUGUCUCGCCGGAGAAGAUCGUUUUGAAUGUUUUCGUUCCCCGCGUUGUUUGAUAUCAAAGAUAGAUUCAAAUGAAUCUAAUUUUACAUAUAAAAAUAGGCACAUCAAGUAUUUGUAUAAAUGUUCGUGAAACAAACAAUGGUAAAACCCUAUCAAACACUUGCACAAGCACACCAAAAAUGAUUUAUUGUCGAUAUUGAAGGAUAUGUGAAUAAUCUCCGGUUCUUUGUGUGUUUUGCUGCUAUUAUUUAUGUAGGCUAGGGUUUUUAGCAAUUUUAAGAUUUCCGGUUUUCGUUUUGAUGUAAAUCUUGUGGUUCAAAUUUGCGGCAAUUUUGACCUAUAUAUGAAGUGUGUCAAAUGAAUGAAAGAUGAAUACCUAAAAGGGGAAUCAUUUGCCAGCCGAAUAAUAUAGUGUUGUUAAUUGUUAAAGGAUUUGUUUUCAUCAUAUUUUUCUUAAUAAUGUGUGUAGAUUGCUCUUCAUUUUGGGAGAUAUAUCAUUACCAUAAUGAGCACUAGAGUUGCUUUGUUAAUUGGCUUCAGUUGUCAGGACUGAUGAUCUAUUUUUUUACUUGCUAAAGAUUUUGUUUUUAAGCAAUAUUGACUAAUUAGCCCCUAAAAAUGUUGACUGAAGGUGGAGAUGGUCAAAUGAAUGAUUUAGUUUACAUUACAGUACAACCUUUGCAAUGAACCUUGGUAUACCCUUUUCUUUUCUCUUUCUUUUAUUGACCCGUUACAUAUUUACAGAUCUAUAUUCUUUCAGUAUCUCACGAUCUUGUCAACUAGGGGUGCGCAUAAACCGUUAAAUCCGACUAAAUUGCCCUGACCACAGUAAAUUUGCUGGUUCAGGCGAUUUAAAGAACUGAGUUUUGACGGUUCAGCUACGGUUUGGAACUUGGAACCAGUCAUUUAAUCUAUAUUAUUGUUACCUUUUCAUUUUUGGAGUAUGUAGUUAUGUAUAUGUAAUAUGUAUAAUAUUUAUGAACACUCUUUAUCGUUAUAAAAUAAUUUAAUACAAGCUAAAGGUCGUGGAAAAAUGGAAAAACCAUUCAAACCACUAAAACCGAGCCCUUUGCCUUUUUCGAAAACCGUAGUUUGCGGUUGGGCCCAGAAUUUUCAUCAAAAUAGGCCAAACUAGAGUGCACAAAUCGUUUUUUAGAACCUACAACUGGGUAGGAACGGGGUCCGGGUUUAGUCAACAAAGUCAAGAACUGGGUAGGGUAGGUCUGAAGAAGCCUGUAUUUACCUCUGCUCGAUUGAAAAAGGGUGAAGUUUUGUACCUGGAAAGUCCUACACAAAGGUUUGAGCUUUGUUUUAAUGGAGAGAAGAUGGUGAAGUCGGGAAAUGAAACGAAUACGAAUGGCGUUGACAGUGAUAAUAACAACAAUAACAAUAACAGUAAUAACAAUAUGAUGGAUGUAUUCAGAUGGUCUUUGUGUAAGAAGCCUCUUCCUCAGACGCUUAUGUGCUCCAUCGGCACCCCUUUGCCGCCUGAACAUCUAAAGCUUAUUGGGUCGAUUUGAUGUAUGACGGUGUUUGAUAUGCUGUUAUCCAGGGACGGUCAGGUGGUGUCAAAGUAACAUAAUUUAGAGUAAUUUUGCAGCUCAUUUCUCAAUCCGGUUGGCAUGCUUCAGUUAUGCUUCAUACUACACUUUAUCUAUGGUGUCGAGGCUUCUGUUUGUGGCGUUCUCACCGUUAUCGUCGUUCAGAUGUCAUCGUCAUCGGUCGUUUGGGAUCAAGGCAAAUAUGAGAUUGCUGAUUCACAUAAAGAAGCUGAAAAGGUUGAUUUUAUCAUUUGGAAAUAAUGUCUAUUUAUAUACACGGGUGCAGGUGGUGUCUAUUUAUAUGAAUUAAAAUAAUUAGAUGAUAAAUAGUGUUAAUUGAGCAACUUUAAAGUGUUUUAGGAAAGGGAUGAGUACUUGUCAUACAAAGAGACCUG
rnacentral:lncRNA from 1 species